UGGGGAAUAUUGCACAAUGGAGGGAACUCUGAUGCAGCAACGCCGCGUGCGGGAUGACGGCCUUCGGGUUGUAAACCGCUUUCAGCCAUGACGAAGCUUUUGUGACGGUACCAUAAGAAAAAGCCCCGGCUAACUACGUGCCAGCAGCCGCGGUAAUACGUAGGGGGCUAGCGUUGUCCGGAAUCACUGGGCGUAAAGGGUUCGCAGGCGGAAAUGCAAGUCAGGUGUAAAAGGCAGUAGCUUAACUACUGUAAGCAUUUGAAACUGCAUAUCUUGAGAAGAGUAGAGGUAAGUGGAAUUUUUAGUGUAGCGGUGAAAUGCGUAGAUAUUAAAAAGAAUACCGGUGGCGAAGGCGACUUACUGGGCUCAUUCUGACGCUGAGGAACGAAAGCGUGGGUAGCAAACAGG
rnacentral:rRNA from 1 species